GUGCUCUGGCUGCACCACGUGCAUGUCCUUGGCCUCUACCCUAGCCCCAACCUCUGUCGGCUCCAGAAGGGGGCGUGGGUGCCUGAUCAUCUCUGGUAGCACGUGUCCUCACCAUCUAUGAGACAAUAGAAGACAGAAGUUUAGAAUUGUGAUGUCAAAAUUCACACGACAAGGGAAUCAUAUUAAGUGGAAUUUUCCUAACAGUUACAUAGCCUUUCGUAGAUAAGUAUAGAUGUCUCAGUACUGAUCCGCGAGACUCUAAUAAACUGGCUUGUGAUACAUGAAUCCUAUGAACCUAGAGCUUUGAUACCAACUUGUCACGACCCCAGUUCACCCUCCCUGAACUAUCGUGACGGCACCUAGUCUCUACGACUAGGUAAGCCUAACAAAUGCAGAAAAGAAACAAUUUCGAAAAGAAAAUAAUUAAAAACCGAGCUAACAAAAUGAAAUAGUGUGUAAGUUGCCGCCUGGCAUAUAACAGUACAAGAAUUUCAACCUAACAUUCCCAAAAUCUGAAACCCCAUGAAUCACAAGCUAAGAAUUUACAUAAAAAGAUCUAACUCCAGAAAUAUCUAUAAACAAGGAAAAUACAGAAGGGCUAUGCUAGUACUGAGAAUAAAAAUGGACUCUUCGGUCUGCGAACGCGACAGAUAUACCUCGAAGUCUCUACGAAAGUGCCUCGCUUCAAGUGUGAUAAGACUGAGUGGAAGUACCUAUAUCUGCACAUGAAAAACAUGCGUAGAAAGGGCAUGAGUACACCACAGCGGUACUUGUCACACCUUCUUUUUACUACCCUCGGAAGCUUAGUAUAAGGGAGUUUUUUCCAAUUUAAGUGACAAUCAAAACGGGAUUAUUUAUUAAAUUCAGAGUCGCCACUUGGGAUUAUUUAUGGUGUCCCAAGUCACUAGUUAAAAUCCCAAAUCAAGGAAGUUGACUCUAUCCGGUUUGUGAAGGUGUUAGGCAUUCUCGGGUUCCGUGGUUUUAGCACUGUCGCUUUAAUCAUACUUGGCUUAAUCAAAUUGACUAGUUACUCAUUUUAGAACCUAUGUGCGUUUGCCUAUUUUAAUUAAGGAAUUAUCUUAAAAUAGGUCACGCGCACGUGUACCCAUUUGUUUUGCGCGUAAAAAAUCAUGUCACGCAAACGUGUCCACAAUUAAUAACGCUUUGUUAUUAUUAAGAAAGUUUGGUCGAAGUUAUGCAAAUGCAUACCUCGAUUUACUUUGGAACCUAUAAUUAUGCCACUCAGAUGUCAAAAAUAUAUACUACUACGAAUCUAUAUAGUCAAAAAGACAAAUAAAAGUAAAAUGAAGUACAUCACAUUUCAACUAAUCAAACCAAUUAUUAUCAGUUGUAAAUGUCGAGGUCAUGAGCUACUGAUAUCUUACUAUUUCAUUGCCAUGCUACUUUAAUUUUGCAGUGUUAGCUUGUCACCUUUCUUCUCCAAAUAGUAAAUUCUUAAACCACAAGUCAGAGAAAAAUGGAUCUCCCACAACACAUUCAAACCAGAUUUCACUCCUAAGCCACUUCAACAUUUCCAGCAGACAAUAAAAUAAUAAUCAUUUAUAGAACCCAACCAAAAAUAUGACUUGUAACUAUAAUAAGAAUAGAGAUGGACCUUAGGAAGAAUUUUACUUUUGAGCUUUACAGUAGGUGAAUCCAAAAGCAAAUCAGAAACCACGUACGGGACCUUGAGGAAACGGAAUUUCAUCGGACACCAAAGCUCGGACCUCAAUGGAAAAUGGUCACCUAACGUCACUGGUUGUUGAAACAACUUAGUAACUCCAAGUAAAUACCAGAGAAGAGAUAUCGGCCAAUUUUGUGUGCGGCCGAUUUUUGAAGGUUAGAGAUCAUAGGCAUGUUCUUUGUGUGCUAGGUUUGUAGGUGUUCAAAAAUUAGGGAAGGCGGCUGGGAGAUGCUCUUCGAGAUUUAGGUAAUGGAGAUCGGCUGAUCGUUUGGAGAGGAGGGGUCUAGGUUUUUCGGUGUUUGUUCGCUGCUCAAAGUGUGGAGAAGAUCGAGCUCAACAACCGAGGGGUCUAUUGUGUAUUACGGCUGUUGCUGCUCUGCAUUCAAAGAUAUAAGAUCCUCUAUUCAUGUGGGUUUUGCUGGAGAUGAAGAGAAGGCGGGGGGUAAGAUAAAGAAGAAGUUGUUUAGGGGAG
rnacentral:lncRNA from 1 species